ensembl:lncRNA
CAGCAGCAGCAGCGUCCCACAGUGGAGUAGGAGGGAAAGAAAAGAGACCAAGUGGGUGGACAGAGCUAGGUUGUCUUAUGUGUAUAUGUAAUUAUAGGUUAUGAGUGGACAGAGCUAGGUUGUCUUAUGUGUAUAUGUAAUUAAUUAUAGGUUAUGGUGAUGAGGAACAAUGGCAUUUGCAGGCUGUGAUUCUCAACUGGUCUGGCCUUGGGAUCCACAAUUUCCGAUGGUCAUAAGUUACGACCCAAAUUUUAUAGCAUUCAACCCAUAAAAUAAACAUCAUCUAUCGGACAUCAGAGAGUAUUUUUUCCCCACACUGUUGAGUUAUCUGGGGGGCUAUUUGCUUCACCUUUUGUCCAACUUAAUGAUUCAAAUUUCAUGUUACAUUCUUCAUGAAAUUAGCUCUUUAUACAAAUACUGUAUGUUGAUUCCUUCCCCACUCACACAACUGCA